CACGUAGGGUGCGAGCGUUGUCCGGAAUUAUUGGGCGUAAAGAGCUCGUAGGCGGUGUGUCGCGUCGGCCGUGAAAACCUGCAGCUUAACUGUGGGCUUGCGGUCGAUACGGGCAUCACUGGAGUUCGGCAGGGGAGACUGGAAUUCCUGGUGUAGCGGUGAAAUGCGCAGAUAUCAGGAGGAACACCGGUGGCGAAGGCGGGUCUCUGGGCCGAUACUGACGCUGAGGAGCGAAAGCGUGGGUAGCAAACAGG
rnacentral:rRNA from 1 species